rnacentral:rRNA from 1 species
UACGAAGGGGGCUAGCGUUGCUCGGAAUCACUGGGCGUAAAGCGCACGUAGGCGGAUUGCUAAGUCAGGGGUGAAAUCCUGGAGCUCAACUCCAGAACUGCCUUUGAUACUGGCGACCUUGAGUCCGGGAGAGGGAUGCGGAAUUCCAGGUGUAGCGGUGAAAUGCGUAGAUAUCUGGAGGAACACCGGUGGCGAAGGCGGCAUCCUGGACCAACACUGACACUGAGGAGCGAAAGCCAGGGGAGCAAACGGG